rnacentral:lncRNA from 1 species
UGUGGCUGUGGGUGGUUUACCGCCAGACUGUGAUGGUGGCGGGGCACGGCUGCGUGACUGCUCAACUCAGCUGUACUUCUCACCACGUGGCAAAGGAUGGACCAAAGGCUGGGAGCAACUGGGAGUGUCUGGGAACACUUUCUGGUUGUCACAGUGAUCAGCAGCCAGGAGCAGCCUGCAAUGUGAAGACAGUCCUGUGGGACAGUCCUAGGCUACAGGGAACUGUCCUGCAUCCUGCAUGUCUUAUAAACAUCCUACUGGACGUCGAUGUUUGACUGUGCCCCAAGGAAGCCACACAAACUGUGUAGCCAGACAGUCUGUCUGGGAGGAGAAGGAAGGAAUUUAUCUACCAGCUCCCAUCUCUCAUGGACCAAAUUCUUCCCCACUGUACAUAACUCCAUAUCACUUUCAGAUUGCAUAAGGGUGAGAGCUGAAUGUAGGCUCCAACAGGAAGACGGCAUUGAAGCCUGGUUGCUUGUUACUACUCAGAAUGCCAUCUACAAAAGGAAAUUAUGUAAAAAGCAAUAAAGAACCCCUUUUGUUCUUGCAGGAGUCAGUGUUUCAUAACUCUUUCUGUGAUAUCGUCUGUAUAAGUUGAACCUCUAAAGAACCUUAUCUAAGUUGCCACGACCUUACUCAUUACCCUCAAGAAAGAUGAACAAUUUAAAGGGGGAAAAAAGGAAGUGAAAAAAAUGGCGGAUACGAGGCAGAACUAACCUGCAGCUUCCACUCGAAGGGACAGAGCAGAGUGUGGAGACCCACAACUGGAACUUUUUCUCCAAGAACUACCACAGGAACAUACCAAGAAAGCCAAGAGAAUCCACAGAACCUUUGGAGGAAGUGGUUUGUCACUGCAGGCUCUGUGGGACAGCUGAGGAACUGUGAGUCUGUUUGCUUUCUCAGUUGGGAGGCUUGUAGCCAGCUGGGAGGCUUGUAGCCUGGGGCAAGUUCUCAGCCCUGCUCACCAGCUGCUUGGAGAUAAACUUGGGGUCUGGGGGACUGAGACCAGCCUUUUGGGCUGCGGGCUCUGGCAGAGUGGGGUGGGGGGCGGGCGGGGGAGGCAUGGGGACUGAGACCAGCCUCUUUUGGGCUGCGGGCUUUGAGGGAGCUGGGUAAGUCCUGUGGCUGCCCGCUUUCUCCCACUUCCCUGGUGACCUGUGUGAGCAGUAGAGGCAGCCAUAAUCCCUUGGGAGCAUAACUCCAUUGGCCUAGGAACCACCCCCAUCCCCCACAGCAGCCACAGCAAGCCCUGCCUGAGGAAAGUCUGAGCUCAGACAUGCCUAUCCCUGCCUGCACCUGGUGGUCUUUCCCUACCCACCCUGGUAGUCAAAACAAAGGUCAUAAUCUCUCGGGAGCUCUAUGGCUCUGCCCACUGCCUGAGAAACUUGAAUACUUAUCCAAAGGCGACCCUAGGACAAGCUUGUAUCCUCCCUAUAUGACCACCACUAAAGCGCUCUUAAAAGUGCCACCUCCUGGCUGGAGGCCAACCAACACAAAACCAGCACACUUAACAAAAAUACAACAAAGGACCCUCACAGAGUCCACUUCACUCCCUAGCUACUUCCACCAGAGUGGGUGCUGGUAUCCACAGCUGAGAGACCUAAAGACAGACCACAGCACAGAACUCUUUGCAGACACAUCCCAGUACUAGCCCAGAGCCUGGUAGCUCCGCCGGGUGGCUAGACCGAGAAGAGAAAUGACAAUCACAGCAGUUUUGCUCUCAGGAAGCCCCAUCCCUAGGGGGAAAGAGAGAGCACCACAUCAAGGGAGCACCCCCGGGACAAAAGAAUCCAAACAGCAGCCCUUGAGUCCCAGGUCUUUCCUCUGACAUAGUCUACCCAAAUGAGAAGGAACCAGAAAAACAAUUCUGGUAAUAUGACAAAAUGAGGUUCUUUAACUCCAAAAGAUCGCACUAGCUCACCAACAAUGGAUCCAAACCAAGAUGAAAUCUCUGAAUUGCCAGAAAAAAAUUCAGAAGGUUGAUUAUUAAGCCAAUCAAGGAGGCACCAGAGAAAGGGGAAGUCCAACAUAAAGAGAAAAAAAAAUGAUACAGGAUAUGAAUGGCAAAAUGUCUAGGGAAAUAGAUAGCAUAAAUAAAAAACAGUCACAACUUCUGGAAACCAAGGACACACUUAGAGAAAUGCAAAAUGAACUGGAAAGUCUCAGCAAUAGAAUUGAACAAGUAGAAGAAAGAACUUCAGAGUUUGAAGACAAGGCUUUUGAAUUAACUCAAUCCAACAAAGACCCCCCAAAAAUGUUUUUAAAUGAACAAAGCCUCCAAGAAGUUUAGGAUUAUGUAAAAUGAUAAAACCUAAGAGUAAUUAAUGUUCCUGAGGAAGAAUAGAAAUGUAAAAGUUUGGAAAAUAUAUUUGAGGGAAUAAUUGAGGAAAACUUCCCUGGCCUUGCUAGAGAUCUAGACAUUCAAAUACAAGAAGUUCAAAGAACAACUAGGAAAUUCGUCACAAAAAGAUCAUCACUUAUGUACAUAGUCAUCAGGUUAUCUAAAAUCAAGAUGAAGGAAAGAAUCUUAAGAGCUAUGAGGCAAAAGCAUCAGGUAACCUAUAAAGGAAAACCUAUCAGAUUAACAGCAGAUUUCUCAGCAGAAACCCUACAAGAUAGAAGGGAUUGAGGUAUUAUAUUUAGCCUCCUUAAACAAAACAAUUAUCAGCUAAGAAUUUUGUAUCCAGCAAAACUAAGCUUCAGAAAUGAAGAACAUAUACAGUCUUUUUCAGACAAAAGCUGAGAAAAUCUGCCACUACCAAGCCAUCACUACAAGAACUGCUUAAAGGAGCUCUAAAUCCUAAAACAAAUCCUCAUAAUACACCAAGAUAGAAUCUCCUUAGAGCAUAAAUUUUGCAGGCCCUAUAAAACAAUAAUACAAUGAAAAAAAAGGUAUUCAGGCAACAGAUAGCACAAUGAAUAGAAUAGUACCUCACAUCUCAAUACUAAUGUUGAAUGUAAAUGGCCUAAAUGCUCCACUUAAAAGAUAUAGAAUGGAUAAGAACUCACCAACCAAGUGACUGCUGUCUUUAAGAGACUCACCUGACACAUAAGGACUCAUAUAAAUUUAAGGUAAAUGGGUGGAAAAAGAUGCUCCAUGCAAAUGGACACCCAAACUAAGCAGGAGUAGCUAUUCUUAUAUCAGACACAACAAACUUUAAAGCAACAGCAUUUUAAAAAGACAGAGGGACAUUGUAUAACGAUAAAAGGACUAGUCCAACAGGAAAAUAUCACCAUCCUAAGUAUAUAUGCACUUAACAGUGGAGCUCCCAAAUUUAUAAAACAAUUAUUAUUAGACCAAAUAAAUGAGGUAGACAGCAACAAAAUAAUAGUGGGGGACCCCAAUACUCCACUGACAGCACUAGACAGGUCAAGACAGAAAGUCAACAAGGAAACAAUGGACUAAAACUAUACCCUAGAACAAAUGGACUUAACAGAUAUUUACAGAACAUUCUACCCAACAAUUGGAGAAUGUACAUUCUAUUUAUCAGCACAUAAAAUAUUCUCCAAGAUAGACCAUAUGAUAGGCCACAAAACAAGUCCCAAAAAAUUUAAGAAAAUUGAAAUUAUAUCAACUACUCUCUUAGACCACAGUGGAAUAAAUUGGAAAUUAACUCCAAAAGGAACCCUCAAAACCAUGCAAAUACAUGGAAAUUAAAUAAUCUGCUCCUGAAUGAUCAUUGGUAAUCAAUAUGGAAAUUUAAAAAUUCUUUUAACUGAAUGAUAAUAGUGACAAAACCUAUCAAAACCUCUGGGAUACAGCAAAAGCAGUGCUAAGAGGAAAGUUCAUAGCAUUAGAUGCCUACAUCAAGAAGUCUGAAAGAGUACAAAUAGACAAUCUAAGGUCACACCUCAAGGAACUAGAGAAACAAGAACAAACCAAAUCCAAAUACAGCAGCAGAAAAAAAAAAAAAAAAAAAAACAAGAUCAGAGCGGAACUAAAUGAAAUUGAAACAAACAAACAAAAAAUACAAAAGAUAAAUGAAACAAAAA